rnacentral:lncRNA from 1 species
UGAGUUCAGUAGUCAUAAAAGAUUGAUAUUUACUCGAAAUCUAACUGGGUUUUGCUUUCCUCAAACUUUUGCAUAAGUUGGUGGUGAAAGUGGAUCUAGGUGAUGAGGAAGACAGGACAAAGGCCAAGCGAGUAGUUUGGCAUAUUGCAGGUAUUGGCCCUCUCCCUGUCUGUUUUUUCCCUUCAUUCUCCCACUGAAUGUUUAAAUCGUCACUGUGAUAGUAAUCAUCAUGUGCUCGAAAUGUUGGGCUUCGCUAACCUUUGUCACGUAAUGCUUUCCAGGAUUUGAGCGUCUGACUGUGGACAAAAAGCACAGUAAACUAACAGUAUCUGGCACUAUGGACCCGGUCAAGGUGGUGAACAAACUGACGAAACUGCACGCAGAAAUGGUGAGCUUCGGAGCAGCCAAAGAAGACGAUGGCAAGAAAGAAGGGGGAAAGAAGAACGAAGAUCAAGUCGCCAGUCAGGUAAAAGCCUCUCAAGCAUACUAUCCUGGACAGGCCAGUGCUCUUCGGCUCCUUGAUCUCCUUUUUUCACUCCUACUCUUCGAACCUACCCGAUGAUCAUUCUCCAAUCAAUCCUAAAUGUACAAAAAAGAUUGACUAUUCCCGAAGAUAAAUUUGGAAUCUCCGUUGAUUUUGUCGCCUAUACAAACGGAUCUCCAGUUUCCAGAAGUAACGUUCUUCAAUUUAAGGAAAGUAGCUUGUGUUCAUAACGAUUAUCAAUCAGAAGCUUUCUUGCAAAACUGUCCUUAAGAUUGGCAAUUUAAUCAUCACUUUCUAUAUUUGAAAUCCUAGACAGAUUACUAGUUGUGUUGUUCAAAAUAGUGGCGCUUGCGUCUGAAUGUUUAUGUGGGAGUUGAUCUUCAGAUUCUCAUGUUGUUCCACUGUAGUGGACUCUGUAAAUAUUUCAAGGUUUUGACGAUCUCCGCGUAUCAGAUUUGCCGAUAUCCAUAUGGUCAAUAUCCAUGAUGUUGUUGAGAUGCUAUACAAAGAUAUUUGAACAACAACAGAAGGGUUCUGAAAAAUGUCAAGAUAUUGACUUCUCUUCAUGGUCUCUAUAUUCAAAGAGCAGUUGAUUGAAUCUGAAACAACUUCUCUUCAUGAGUAGUUCCUGUAAAAAGAUACUCAUAUGCACGUAUCAGAUUCAAGACGAACCAAAGAAGAUUUUAUCAAUUUCAAAAUUUUAUUGAUAGGUUUUCUCAAUAGUAAUUGUUAAUCGUAUAGCAUGAUGGUCUCUACUCGUGUGAAUAAUAAUUGUAGGAAUAUCAAAUGAUGCUUCAAAUUCUUAUCCAUUAUUGAUUACAUAUGGCCAAGUUGUUUAAACGCUAGUCUGUCACCCCACAUGUGAUCGUCUGAGUUCAGUAGUCGUAAAAGAUUGAUAUUUACUCGAAAUCUAACUGGGUUUUGCUUUCCUCAAACUUUUGCAGAAGUUGGUGGUGAAAAUGGAUAUAGGUGAUGAGGAAGCCAAGACAAAGGCCAAGCGAGUAGUUUGGCAUAUUGCAGUAUUGGCCCUCUCCCUGUCUGUUUUUUCCCUUCAUUCUCCACUGAAUGUUUAAAUCGUCACUGUGAUAGUAAUCAUCCUGUGCUCGAAAUGUUUGGCUUCGCUAACCUUUGUCACGUAAUGCUUUCCAGGAUUUGAGCGUCUGACUGUGGACACAGAGCUCAAUAAACUAACAGUAUCUGGCACUAUGGACCCGGUCAAGGUGGUGAACAAACUGACGAAACUGCACGCAGAAAUGGUGAGCUUCGGAGCAGCCAAGGAAGACGAUGGCAAGAAAGAAGGGGGAAAGAAGAACGAAGAUCAAGUCGCCAGUCAGGUAAAAGCCUCUCAAGCAUACUAUCCUGGACAGGCCAGUGCUCUUCGGCUCCUUGAUCUCCUUUUUUCACUCCUACACUUCGAACCUACCCGAUGAUCAUUCUCCAAUCAAUCCUAAAUGUGCAAAAAAGAUUGACUAUUCCCGAAGAUAAAUUUGGAAUCUCCGUUGAUUUUGUCGCCUAUACAAACGGAUCUCCAGUUUCCAGAAGUAGCGUUCUUCGGUUUAAGGAAAGUAGCUUGUGUUCAUAACGAUUAUCAAUCAGAAGCUUUCUUGCAAAACUGUCCUUAAGAUUGGCAAUUUAAUCAUCACUUUCUAUAUUUCAAAUCCUAGACAGAUUACUAGUUGCGUUGUUCAAAAUAGUGUCGCUUGCAUCUGAAUGUUUAUGUGGGCGUUGAUCUUCGGAUUCUGAUGUUGUUUCACUGUAGUGGACUCUGUAAAUAUUUCAAGGUUUUGAAUAUCUCCACGUAUGAGAUUUGCCGAUAUCCAUAUGGUCAAUAUCCAUGAUGUUGUUGAGAUGCUAUCCAAAGAUAUUGGAACAACAACAGAAGGGUUCUGAAAAAUGUCAAGAUAUUGACUUCUCUUCAUGGUCUCCAUAUUCAAAGAGCAGUUGAUUGAAUCUGAAACAACUUCUCUUCAUGAGUAGUUCCUGUAAGAUGAUACCGUUAUGCACGUAUCAGAUUCAAGACGAACCAAAGAAGAUUUUAUCAAUUUCAAAAUUUUAUUAAUAGGUUUUCUCAAUAGUAAUUGUUAAUCGUAUAGCAUGAUGGUCUCUACUCGUGUGAAUAAUAAUUGUAGGAAUAUCAAAUGAUGCUUCAAAUUCUUAUUCAUUAUUGCUUACAUAUGGCCAAGUUGUUUAAACGCUAGUCUCUCACACCACAUCUGAUCAUCUGAGUUCAGUAGUCAUAAAAGAUUGAUAUUUACUCGAAAUCUAACUGGGUUUUGCUUUCCUCAAACUUUUGCAUAAGUUGGUGGUGAAAGUGGAUCUAGGUGAUGAGGAAGACAGGACAAAGGCCAAGCGAGUAGUUUGGCAUAUUGCAGGUAUUGGCCCUCUCCCUGUCUGUUUUUUCCCUUCAUUCUCCCACUGAAUGUUUAAAUCGUCACUGUGAUAGUAAUCAUCCUGUGCUCGAAAUGUUGGGCUUCGCUAACCUUUGUCACGUAAUGCUUUCCAGGAUUUGAGCGUCUGACUGUGGACAAAAAGCACAGUAAACUAACAGUAUCUGGCACUAUGGACCCGGUCAAGGUGGUGAACAAACUGACGAAACUGCACGCAGAAAUGGUGAGCUUCGGAGCAGCCAAAGAAGACGAUGGCAAGAAAGAAGGGGGAAAGAAGAACGAAGAUCAAGUCGCCAGUCAGGUAAAAGCCUCUCAAGCAUACUAUCCUGGACAGGCCAGUGCUCUUCGGCUCCUUGAUCUCCUUUUUUCACUCCUACUCUUCGAACCUACCCGAUGAUCAUUCUCCAAUCAAUCCUAAAUGUGCAAAAAAGAUUGACUAUUCCCGAAGAUAAAUUUGGAAUCUCCGUUGAUUUUGUCGCCUAUACAAACGGAUCUCCAGUUUCCAGAAGUAGCGUUCUUCAAUUUAAGGAAAGUAGCUUGUGUUCAUAACGAUUAUCAAUCAGAAGCUUUCUUGCAAAACUGUCCUUCAGAUUGGCAAUUUAAUCAUCACUUUCUAUAUUUGAAAUCCUAGACAGAUUACUAGUUGUGUUGUUCAAAAUAGUGGCGCUUGCGUCUGAAUGUUUAUGUGGGCGUUGAUCUUCAGAUUCUGAUGUUGUUCCACUGUAGUGGACUCUGUAAAUAUUUCAAGGUUUUGACGAUCUCCGCAUAUCAGAUUUGCCGAUAUCCAUAUGGUCAAUAUCCAUGAUGUUGUUGAGAUGCUAUACAAAGAUAUUUGAACAACAACAGAAGGGUUCUGAAAAAUGUCAAGAUAUUGACUUCUCUUCAUGGUCUCUAUAUUCAAAGAGCAGUUGAUUGAAUCUGAAACAACUUCUCUUCAUGAGUAGUUCCUGUAAGAAGAUACUGUUAUGCACGUAUCAGAUUCAAGACGAACCAAAGAAGAUUUUAUCAAUUUCAAAAUUUUAUUGAUAGGUUUUCUCAAUAGUAAUUGUUAAUCGUAUAGCAUGAUGGUCUCUACUCGAGUGAAUAAUAAUUGUAGGAAUAUCAAAUGAUGCUUCAAAUUCUUAUCCAUUAUUGAUUACAUAUGGCCAAGUUGUUUAAACGCUAGUCUGUCACCCCACAUGUGAUCGUCUGAGUUCAGUAGUCGUAAAAGAUUGAUAUUUACUCGAAAUCUAACUGGGUUUUGCUUUCCUCAAACUUUUGCAGAAGUUGGUGGUGAAAAUGGAUAUAGGUGAUGAGGAAGCCAAGACAAAGGCCAAGCGAGUAGUUUGGCAUAUUGCAGGUAUUGGCCCUCUCCCUGUCUGUUUUUUCCCUUCAUUCUCCCACUGGAUGUUUAAAUCGUCACUGUGAUAGUAAUCAUCCUGUGCUCGAAAUGUUUGGCUUCGCUAACCUUUGUCACGUAAUGCUUUCCAGGAUUUGAGCGUCUGACUGUGGACACAGAGCUCAAUAAACUAACAGUAUCUGGCACUAUGGACCCGGUCAAGGUGGUGAACAAACUGACGAAACUGCACGCAGAAAUGGUGAGCUUCGGAGCAGCCAAGGAAGACAAUGGCAAGAAAGAAGGGGGACAGAAGAACGAAGAUCAAGUCGCCAGUCAGGUAAAAGCCUCUCAAGCAUACUAUCCUGGACAGGCCAGUGCUCUUCGGCUCCUUGAUCUCCUUUUUUCACUCCUACACUUCGAACCUACCCGAUGAUCAUUCUCCAAUCAAUCCUAAAUGUGCAAAAAAGAUUGACUAUUCCCGAAGAUAAAUUUGGAAUCUCCGUUGAUUUUGUCGCCUAUACAAACGGAUCUCCAGUUUCCAGAAGUAGCGUUCUUCGGUUUAAGGAAAGUAGCUUGUGUUCACAACGAUUAUCAAUCAGAAGCUUUCUUGCAAAACUGUCCUUCAGAUUGGCAAUUUAAUCAUCACUUUCUAUAUUUGAAAUCCUAGACAGAUUACUAGUUGCGUUGUUCAAGAUAGUGGCGCUUGCAUCUGAAAGUUUAUGUGGGCGUUGAUCUUCGGAUUCUGAUGUUGUUUCACUGUAGUGGACUCUGUAAAUAUUUCAAGGUUUGGAAUAUCUCCACGUAUCAGAUUUGCCGAUAUCCAUAUGGUCCAUAUCCAUGAUGUUGUUGAGAUGCUAUCCAAAGAUAUUUGAACAACAACAGAAGGGUUCUGAAAAAUGUCAAGAUAUUGACUUCUCUUCAUGGUCUCCAUAUUCAAAGAGCAGUUGAUUGAAUCUGAAACAACUUCUCUUCAUGAGUAGUUCCUGUAAGAUGAUACCGUUAUGCACGUAUCAGAUUCAAGACGAACCAAAGAAGAUUUUAUCAAUUUCAAAAUUUUAUUAAUAGGUUUUCUCCAUAGUAAUUGUUAAUCGUAUAGCAUGAUGGUCUCUACUCGUGUGAAUAAUAAUUGUAGGAAUAUCAAAUGAUGCUUCAAAUUCUUAUUCAUUAUUGCUUACAUAUGGCCAAGUUGUUUAAACGCUAGUCUCUCACACCACAUCUGAUCAUCUGAGUUCAGUAGUCAUAAAAGAUUGAUAUUUACUCGAAAUCUAACUGGGUUUUGCUUUCCUCAAACUUUUGCAUAAGUUGGUGGUGAAAGUGGAUCUAGGUGAUGAGGAAGACAGGACAAAGGCCAAGCGAGUAGUUUGGCAUAUUGCAGGUAUUGGCCCUCUCCCUGUCUGUUUUUUCCCUUCAUUCUCCCACUGAAUGUUUAAAUCGUCACUGUGAU